rnacentral:siRNA from 1 species
AUAUUGAGGUCUAGUGAAUGUUUG